rnacentral:piRNA from 2 species
UUCGAUUCCGGCUCGAAGGACUUCG